UACGGGGGGAGCAAGCGUUGUUCGGAUUUACUGGGCGUAAAGGGCGCGUAGGCGGCCAGCACAAGUCAGUUGUGAAAUCUCCGAGCUUAACUCGGAACGGUCAAGUGAUACUGUCGUGCUAGAGUACAGAAGGGGCAACUGGAAUUCUCGGUGUAGCGGUGAAAUGCGUAGAUAUCGAGAGGAACACCUGCGGCGAAGGCGGGUUGCUGGGCUGAUACUGACGCUGAGGCGCGAAAGCUAGGGGAGCGAACGGG
rnacentral:rRNA from 1 species